AAUCAACCAACUGGAUAUUAAAGUAUGUCACCGGAGAUUUGUUCUCCUGUCCACGCGAUGAAUCCUUGGCCCACUGCAUCAGUGAAGACUGUCGCAUGGGAGCAGGCAUAGCGGUGAUGUUCAAGAAGAAGUUUGGUCGAGUCUCAGAGUUAAAGGAGCAGAGUGAGUCAGACUAGUUACUAAAGUCUUUGUUUUGGAAAAAAUGUUUUAUGUUUUUCCAGUUCAUUCACAUGUCUGAUUUCAACAGCAAAUGCUAAAUCAUUUCCUGUUUUUUUUGUUUUUUUUUGUAUGUCCUAAUAGAGAAGCUUCCAGGGCAGUGUGCUGUCCUGACACAUGAUCAACGUUUCAUCUACUAUCUGAUCACAAAGAAAAAAGCCAGCCAGAAACCCACGUAUGUCAACCUAAGACAGAGUCUGGAAGACAUGAAAUCUCACUGCUUAGAAAAUGGUGUCAAUAGGAUAUCAAUACCUCGAAUUGGCUGUGGCCUGGACCAGCUGCAGUGGUCAAAGGUGUCAAAGAUCCUGGAACAGAUCUUUAAAGAGACAAAUAUCUCCAUCACAGUGUACAGCCUGCCCUGUGUUGGGUCAAAGCUUCAAAUGCAUGCCAUGUAGUACAUUUUCAUUGGGUUUUGUUUUUAGCUUUAAAUCCUUUAUAAUCUCUUAAAAUUUUGGAUGAAAUCAACACUCAAACAGUUUUAAGGAAACAAUAAAUAAGGAAACAAUAAAAACCUCCCCAUAAGAUGUUUAGAUACAAGACUUUUAACAUCCCGCUGAUGUAAAAAUGAUGUUUCCUGCCAUUAAAGAUACAAAACUUAUUCCAAACACUGAUGUUGCACUCUGUGAAUAUCAUACUACAUGAUGCUACUACUAAAUCAUGCUACACAAAAUGAUCCAACAAAUCACCUGAGGCAGGUAAAAUACAAUAGUUAUGCCUAAAAUUUGUUUUUUGUUUUUCUAAAUCUAUAUAGUUGUUGAAAACGUAGCUUUUCCUGUGAAUCUGUAAAUCUAAAUUGUGAAAGAGUUUGCUUCUCUAGCUUUAUUUUCCUGACCCAAAUUCAGGAGCAAGGUUGUUGUCACAAGAUUUUUUUUGUCAUGAGUUUAUAGUGAUUCUGAUGCUUGACUUUUUUAGUAUUUGUAACCUGUGAAUGGUGUUGUACAGAAUAUUAGGACUUUCUUUGAAAAUUACUUUGUAAAUAAAAUUUAAGAUCAUGGUUUUUGACAACCUUUACCUGUUAAAACACCAGGCAACGGUAUGUAGGAAAAUGCAAUUUGACAUUUUUAUAAGUUUCUUAGUUUUGCCUCAAAAUGAAUUUUGAUGUUACAAAAAUACCAAUCUUUACUUUCAUCCACCCAUAAAACAUUGCUCAUCAUUUCUCUUCAGUCCAAUCCGAUG